rnacentral:rRNA from 1 species
GGGGUGAUCUCUUCGGAGAGAUCCUAGCGGCGGACGGGUGAGUAACACGUGAGUAACCUGCCCUAUGGAGGGGGAUAACACAAAGAAAUUUGUGCUAAUACCGCAUAAAACUGAUGCUGCGCAUGCAGCGACAGUCAAAGAUUUAUCGCCAUGGGAUGGACUCGCGGCGCAUUAGCUAGUUGGUGAGGUAACGGCUCACCAAGGCGACGAUGCGUAGCCGACCUGAGAGGGUGAUCGGCCACAUUGGAACUGAGACACGGUCCAGACUCCUACGGGAGGCAGCAGUGGGGAAUAUUGCACAAUGGGCGAAAGCCUGAUGCAGCAACGCCGCGUGAGCGAUGAAGGCCUUCGGGUUGUAAAGCUCUGUCUUUGCUGACGAAAAAAAUGACGGUGAGCAAGGAGGAAGCCACGGCUAACUACGUGCCAGCAGCCGCGGUAAUACGUAGGUGGCAAGCGUUGUCCGGAAUUAUUGGGCGUAAAGAAUGCGUAGGCGGCUUUUUAAGUGGGAUGUGAAAUCCCUGGGCUCAACCCAGGAACUGCAUUCCAAACUGGAAGGCUAGAGUGUGGGAGAGGAAAAUGGUAUUCCCAGUGUAGCGGUGAAAUGCGUAGAGAUUGGGAGGAACACCAGUAGCGAAGGCGAUUUUCUGGAACAUAACUGACGCUGAGGCAUGAAAGCGUGGGGAGCAAACAGGAUUAGAUACCCUGGUAGUCCACGCCGUAAACGAUGAGUACUAGGUGUAGGGGGGUACCACCCCCUGUGCCGCAGUUAACACAUUAAGUACUCCGCCUGGGAAGUACGAU